GACGAACGCUGGCGGCGUGCCUAAUACAUGCAAGUCGAACGAGAGCGACCGGUGCUUGCACUGGUCAAUCUAGUGGCGAACGGGUGAGUAACACGUGGGUAACCUGCCCAUCAGAGGGGGAUAACAUCCGGAAACGGAUGCUAAAACCGCAUAGGUCUUCGAGCCGCAUGGCUUGAAGAGGAAAAGAGGCGCACGCUUCUGCUGAUGGAUGGACCCGCGGUGCAUUAGCUAGUUGGUGAGGUAACGGCUCACCAAGGCCGUGAUGCAUAGCCGACCUGAGAGGGUGAUCGGCCACAUUGGGACUGAGACACGGCCCAAACUCCUACGGGAGGCAGCAGUAGGGAAUCUUCCGCAAAGGACGCAAGUCUGACGGAGCAACGCCGCGUGAGUGAAGAAGGUUUUCGGAUCGUAAAACUCUGUUGUUAGAGAAGAACAAGUGCUAGAGUAACUGUUAGCGCCUUGACGGUAUCUAACCAGAAAGCCACGGCUAACUACGUG
rnacentral:rRNA from 1 species